rnacentral:lncRNA from 1 species
CACUAACAUCUUUAAACAUUUAUAUCGCUUCUACCUCCAGCCAGAUGUGAAAUGGACACCACACCAGAAGACUGUAGUCCAGACAUACCAACAAAGCUACUGAUUGACAUCAUGGACCGUAACGUGACAGCACCAGACAUGGGGAUGCUAGGGUGUUAUCUCCCAUUUCGGUGGUACAGAGGAAGGAUAAGCCUGGCUAGGAGCCGAUACACCUGUCUACCUGUUAGUGUGUUCACCUAUGGAUGAACACCAUGAUAGGUGUAAUACCUGUGAUAGGUGCAGUACCUGUGUAGGGCCACACCUAUGGAUGGAAACCAUGAUAGUUGUAAUCCCUGUGAUAGGUGCAGUACCUGUGUAGGGACACUCUUAUGGAUGGACACCAUGAUAGUUGUAAUGCCUGUCAUAGGUGCAGUACCUGUGUAGGGACACACCUAUGAAUGGACACCAUGAUAGUUGUAAUACCUGUGAUAGGGGCAGUACCUGUGUAGGGACACACCUAUGGAUGGAAACCAUGAUACUUGUAAUACCUGUGAUAGGUGCAGUACCUGUGCAGGGACACACCUAUGGAUGGACCCCAUGAUAGGUGUAAUACCUGUGAUAGGUGCAGUACCUGUGUAGGGCCACACCUAUGGAUGGAAACCAUGAUAGUUGUAAUGCCUGUGAUAGGUGCAGUCCCUGUGUAGGGACACACCUAUGGAUGGAAACCAUGAUAGUUGUAAUACCUGUGAUAGGUGCAGUACCUGUGCAGGGACACACCUAUGGAUGGACCCCAUGAUAGGUGUAAUACCUGUGAUAGGUGCAGUCCCUGUGUAGGGACACACCUAUGGAUGGACACCAUGAUAGUUGUAAUACCUGUGAUAGGUGCAGUACCUGUGUAGGGACACACCUGUGAAUGGAGAUAGUAGGUGAAGCCUGUGGAUGAUACAUGGUGUACGGAUAACUUGUGACAGGUAUAAUACCUGGAGAUGGAUACACCUGGCCAGUAAUUAGAUACAAUUUGUGUGCUAGGAAUGUGUUGUUUAUUCCAAUGUUUAUCUGUGGUUCUAUACAGAUAUGUGGGGAAUGUACCUCGUGUGUUUUGAAUAUAGUUUUGCCUGUUAUUCCAACAUGAGAAAUUUCGGAUUUAUCUUCUGGGAUUAAACGGGAGGCUUAAACCAACAUCAUGUCUGCAAGCCUCCACACACACUUUGUCUAAUAAGGGGCACUGCUAAUGGGCUGUGAAAGUCUCAACCGUCACACCGCACUGCUACGCAACCCCGGACCAAGGUAGCCAGCUCUCAACUCAUGAAUAAAAUUCAUAACCAGUAUUUCAAGGAGAUGGUUUAAGAAGACAGGACUAAAUGGUCAAUUGCAUGUUUGUCGAUGACCAAUUACCCUACCCCUGUUCCCUGGGGAGGACACCACCGUUUGUGUCAGCCACAGACAAUUCAGUUUUUUGGCCAAUUCAAUAAUGAUUGAAUGGGAAUGUACCACUCUGAGAACAAGCUGUUCUGUAAGGAGUGAUCACUUAGGAUGGCACAUCAGAAGACCUUUCCUUGUCGAGGCUAUUAGUAUCAGCCUUCUGAUGUGUCAAAGGAACCAGGCCUUAACGAUGGCUCAAGAAAUUGCAUAUUGUUUUCAAAGGAGAUGAAAGAGCAGCCGUUCAAAUGACAUGGACUGUGAUAAUGAUGGUGAUGGGGUGUGCAGCUGCUGCAGUCUCAAGACCUCGAUAGCAACCAGCAAUGGAGGAGAGACCCGGGGGCAGUAAUGGACUAACAAGCUACCAGGGUUCAUUGACGUGAGGAAAGGAAGGAACUAUUGGACAGGGCAGGAGGCAGGACUGAUGAGGAAGAAAAAGAUGGUAGAGGAUGAUUGACAGCUGGGAGGCG